rnacentral:rRNA from 2 species
AGCGAACGCUGGCGGCAGGCCUAACACAUGCAAGUCGAACGGACCCUUCGGGGUUAGUGGCGGACGGGUGAGUAACACGUGGGAACGUGCCUUUAGGUUCGGAAUAGCUCCUGGAAACGGGUGGUAAUGCCGAAUGUGCCCUUCGGGGGAAAGAUUUAUCGCCUUUAGAGCGGCCCGCGUCUGAUUAGCUAGUUGGUGAGGUAAUGGCUCACCAAGGCGACGAUCAGUAGCUGGUCUGAGAGGAUGACCAGCCACAUUGGGACUGAGACACGGCCCAAACUCC